rnacentral:ncRNA from 1 species
UUCAUACUUUGGCAAAAUCAUUGAAAGAUGAUGACGCAAAACUACAGGGGCUAAGGUUUUUGACUAUGCCAGCCAGUUGCAAAU